UACGUAGGGUGCGAGCGUUGUCCGGAAUUAUUGGGCGUAAAGGGCUCGUAGGCGGGUUGUCGCGUCGGGAGUGGAAUCCACUGGCUUAACUGGUGGCUUGCUUUCGAUACGGGCAUGACUGGAGUUCGGUAGGGGAGACUGGAAUUCCCGGUGUAGCGGUGAAAUGCGCAGAUAUCGGGAGGAACACCGGUGGCGAAGGCGACUUCCUGGCCUGUUCUUGACGCUGAGGCGCGAAAGCUAGGGGAGCAAACGGG
rnacentral:rRNA from 1 species